CGCAUUGCAUACAACCUGCUCCCUUCUUCUUGCCUAAGCUUACUAAUCAGAUAUGGAAUCGGCAUGGCUUUAAGACGAGUGUGUAAUACAGUCAGAAUGAAAGUGAAAGUAUUUCUCCUCCCGCUUUAUUAUUCUAGGUCAGCUUGCAACCCAUUUCUCCCUCAGAGAGCCACUGACAGAGUGCAGUCAUCAAACUGAAUAUAGAAGCAUCGCCUAAGAAGAUGGUGUCACAUCUAUGCCUUUUUGUUUUUGCUGUGUUUGGCCUCAGAUCGAUCAUCGCCGGUAUGUCUGUCUUACACUCUCCAAUUUACUCCCCAAAUCCAAAUUUGAAAAAACUAUUUAAGUGGUAAUUGAUUAUAUUUUCCUAUAUAUUAUGAUUUUUUUACUGUAUGUUUAUUAUGUUUAAUUUUUCAGAUAAGCUGAAGUGUAAGACUUCGGUUGACAGCAGAACUGCAGUUUUGGACUGCCACUUACUAUGUAAAGAUGUAAAGAUCCGUUUUCUGAAGUGGACUAAGAAUCAAUCAGCACUUGCACUAUACAAUGGGUCCAGUUACACACGUACGAAUCGCAUUGGAUUCAGGCAGCCAUGGAAUAACAGCUCCCAGGACAUUUCUCUCCAGAUAAACGACAUUACAAAGGAAGACAGCGGGGAAUAUAACUAUUCUGUAAUUAGUGAUUGUGACACUCUUACGGGUUCUGUCCAUUUGGAGAUUCCAGAUCUGACAACUACUUCCCCGGUACAGAAAGAACCGAAUAAUGAAUUCAAAACAAAAGCUGAGACAAAUCCCUUAAAACAAGAGGAGACAGAAAAACCGAGACACAGUCCAGUUCUGCCCGUGGUUGUGAUUCUCACAGCUGUCCUUGUGUUGGGGAUACUUGUCUUAUGGAAGAGGAAGAACAUUCCAUUUUCAUGCACCACAUCAGAAAAAGGCCAAUCCAAAGGCAAUUUGCCAGUGGAAAACUACCCCGUAGCAAAUUGCACUGAGCGCACGGCUGAAGAAGGACUAUUACACACAAAUAAGGGCACAGACUCCUAUGAUUGAGAGAUACACUCCAGUGAAGCAUGACUUGCAGUGUAAAUUUUAUUUUCUUACAACUAAACACGGACUUUUUCCAGUGAAUCACACCAUGAGGACUGCUGAUCAUUUUAUACCUGUACAGAGUUUUCAGCAUUACUUACUGUUUGCACUGGGUCUCCAAGCUUACUGCAAUCCUCUCAUGGAUGAUGGCUUGAUGGAUGGAUCGAUGGAUGGAUUAAUGGAUAAAUGAUUGAUCUAUUGAUUGAUUGGUUGAUUGAUAAUAAUGUAAAAUAUUAAACCAAAGCUAUGUGUCUUACUCAUACAAAUGUAUUAAUAUGUUAAUCAACUGUAAAUAGCGAUUGAAUAAAAUAAGGUCUUCACAAGGA